rnacentral:rRNA from 1 species
GUGGGGAAUUUUGCGCAAUGGGGGAAACCCUGACGCAGCGAUGCCGCGUGGAGGACGAAGGUUCUCGGAUUGUAAACUCCUUUUACAGGGGACAAACGUCCAGGUGAAGAGCCUGGAGUGAUGGUACCCUGUGAAUAAGCCACGGCUAACUUCGUGCCAGCAGCCGCGGUAAGACGAAGGUGGCGAGCGUUACUCGGAAUUACUAGGCGUAAAGCGUGGGCAGGUGGUUCGGCAAGUCUGUUGUGAAAGCUCCUGGCUUAACCGGGAGAGGCCAAUGGAUACUACCGGACUUGAAUGUGGGAGGGGUCACUGGAAUUCCUGGUGUAGCGGUGAAAUGCGUAGAUAUCAGGAGGAACACCAAUGGCGAAAGCAGGUGACUAGACCACUAUUGACACUCAUCCACGAAAGCUAGGGGAGCAAACAGGAUUAGAUACCCGUGUAGUCC